GGCGGGCCGCGGGGCGGGCUCCCGGCCCCGGCCGACGCGCCGCGAGGCGAGCCGGGCGGGCGGGCGCGCGCGCGUACGCGCGGGGAGGGCGAGGAGGACGGGCGGGGCCUCGGAGGAGGGGCGGCGGGGAGGAGGAGGGGCGCGGGAGCGGCGGUCGGCCGGACGCCGGGCCGCCACCGGGGGCGGGCGGCGAACCGCGGCGACCGGGACGCGCUCCCCCGACCCUCUCUCCCCGCCGGCACCCUUCCCCUUCCGGACCCGCCUUCCUCCUCCCCCACCACCACACCGCACGCAACACGCCCCCACCGCCGACGACGCGCGACGACGACGACGACGACGGGCACGGGACCUUCGGGGCGGGCUCCCGGCCCCGGCCGACGCGCCGCGAGGCGAGCCGGGCGGGCGGGCGCGCGCGCGUACGCGCGGGGAGGGCGAGGAGGACGGGCGGGGCCUCGGAGGAGGGGCGGCGGGGAGGAGGAGGGGCGCGGGAGCGGCGGUCGGCCGGACGCCGGGCCGCCACCGGGGGCGGGCGGCGAACCGCGGCGACCGGGACGCGCUCCCCCGACCCUCUCUCCCCGCCGGCACCCUUCCCCUUCCGGACCCGCCUUCCUCCUCCCCCACCACCACACCGCACGCAACACGCCCCCACCGCCGACGACGCGCGACGACGACGACGACGACGG
rnacentral:lncRNA from 1 species